rnacentral:rRNA from 1 species
AUUGAACGCUGGCGGCAGGCUUAACACAUGCAAGUCGAGCGAGCGGCGGACGGGUGAGUAAUGUCUGGGAAACUGCCUGAUGGAGGGGGAUAACUACCGGAAACGGUAGCUAAUACCGCAUACCAUCAGAUGUGCCCAGAUGGGAUUAGCUAGUCGGUGGGGUAAUGGCUCACCUAGGCGACGAUCCCUAGCUGGUCUGAGAGGAUGACCAGGCACACUGGAACGGAGACACGAUCCAGACUCCUACGGGAGGCAGCAGUGGGGAAUAUUGCACAAUGGGGGCAAGCCUGAUGCGGCCAUGCCGCGUGUGUGAAGAAGGCCAUCGGGUUUUAAAGCACUUGCAGCGAGGAGGCGUUACUCGCAGAAGAAGCACCGGCUAACUCCGUGCCAGCAGCCGCGGUAAUAC